rnacentral:rRNA from 1 species
UACGUAGGGGGCAAGCGUUGUCCGGAAUUAUUGGGCGUAAAGCGCGCGCAGGCGGUCGUUUAAGUCUGGUGUUUAAGCCCGGGGCUCAACCCCGGCACGCACUGGAAACUGGGCGACUGGAGUGCAGAAGAGGAGAGUGGAAUUCCACGUGUAGCGGUGAAAUGCGUAGAUAUGUGGAGGAACACCAGUGGCGAAGGCGACUCUCUGGUCUGUAACUGACGCUGAGGCGCGAAAGCGUGGGGAGCAAACAGG